rnacentral:snoRNA from 3 species
GGACGGUGAAGAUUGAUAUUUGGUCUCGUUAGUCGUAAUUGGCAUUUUUUUGCCUUGCCGACCAUACUGCUAUAUCACCACCCAUAUUCUGAGUCC